UGACCCAAGUUUUAAAAAAAACUAAAAUUCUCUUUGCAGAGGGGAAGAGAGAGACCCCGGCUCUGUCCUCCGGCCACUGGGUUGCAUUCGUGCACGCGCUUCAUGCGCCGCCUUUGAUGCCGUCACGUACGGCGGUUAGGGUUUUCAAAACUCUAUUUUUCGCAGCCAAUCAAAAAGGUGACUCGCGAUGAUCUCGAUGAUUCAAGCGCUGCUGGCGCGAUUUCGGGCCUGGAUAGAGGGACGAUCGGUGACCGGGGCACUGAUGAGCAUUGAAGACCCUUGGGACAGCGCAUUAAUGGCGGCCUCGAUUUCGGGGACUGAACAGACGCUCCCCGAAUUCUCUAGAACCUCUUGCGGCGCCACAAUAUUUAGGAAACCCUAGGGUUUCCUAUUUACCUUAAGUCUUUUGGGCUUUUUGGGCUAUUUCAGAUUCGGGUUUAGGUAUUUUGGGUUACGGGUGUAAUAGGGCUUGCUGGGUAGUUUUGAUUUUGGGCCUACUGUUUGGGCUUUAUAACUUGGACUGUUUAAUAAAUAAAUAUUUAUUUA